AUGUGUGAAUUUUUUUACGAUAAAAGAUUAUAACUAUAAUAAAUUUUUUGGAGGUCUUUUAAAUGACUCAAGGUACAGUAAAAUGGUUUAACUCAGAAAAAGGUUUUGGAUUUAUCGAAGUUGAAGGUGGAAACGACGUAUUCGUACACUUCUCUGCUAUCCAAGGCGACGGUUUCAAAUCUCUAGAAGAAGGUCAAAAAGUUGAAUUCUCAGUUGAAGAAGGAAACCGUGGACCACAAGCUACUAACGUAGUUAAACUUUAAUUCUUCUCGUAAAUUUAACUGAAAUUAAAAGCCGACUAAAAGUAUUAUUACUUUUAGUCGGCU
rnacentral:other from 1 species